GACGAACGCUGGCGGCGUGCUUAACACAUGCAAGUCGAACGAAGUGGCGAACGGGUGAGUAAUACGUGGGUAACCUGCCCUCCUUUUUGGGAUAAGCCUUGGAAACGGGGUCUAAUACCGAAUAAAGGGGGAUGGGCUCGCGGCCUAUCAGCUUGUUGGUGGGGUGAUGGCCUACCAAGGCGGUGACGGGUAGCCGGCCUGAGAGGGUGACCGGCCACAUUGGGACUGAGAUACGGCCCAGACUCCUACGGGAGGCAGCAGUGGGGGAGAUUGCACAAUGGGCGAAAGCCUGAACCAGCCAAGUAGCGUGAAGGAUGAAUGCUUAUGGGUCGUAAACUUCUUUUAUAUAAGAAUAGGUAUUAUAUGAAUAAGGAUCGGCUAACUCCGUGCCAGCAGCCGCGGUAAUUC
rnacentral:rRNA from 1 species